rnacentral:lncRNA from 1 species
AGACUUAUUCGCUUAUUUCUUUAGAAAUAAAUUUAAUUGAAAAUAUAAGGUAACUAGACUUCGAACUUAGAAUCUCGCAUACCAACCACCAAAUCUAUUGUCACUUCUGCUAGGAACGAUCAAUAAUUAGUAAUAUAAAAUAAUUGUUGUUCUCUAAAACUUUUAGGCACCGUUUGGUUCGAGUAUAAGUAAGAACUAGUUAUUACAGGAAUAGGUAUAAGUAUGAGGAUAAGAAAAAUAGUGUUUUGAUGAAAAUUGUAUUGUUUCCGAAGAUAAGAAAAAUAACGUUUGGAUAGAUAAUAUAGAAUAAAAGAAAUAGUGGAUAAUUAUAUAUAUAAAAUGGAGGUGUUGGUGGGAUAGUUAUACCAGCUUAUUUCAGAUACCCGAGGAUUACUAUUUUCGGAUAAAAAAUUAGCAUUUGGAUAUAAAGGGAAUAAGGGGUUAUUCGAUCCCUUAUCCCCAAUCCAAAGGGAGCCAGUUCUGUUUAAAAAUAGUAAUUUUAAUAUUUAUAUACAAUAUUCUCAAUCUUAACAUUU